GAACGCAUCUUGCGCUCCUUGGUAUUCUGAGGAGCAUGCCUGUUUGAGUAUCAUGAACACCUCAACUCUCAUGGUUUGCCAUGAUGAGCUUGGACUUUGGGGGUCUUGCUGGCCUAUGGUCGGCUCCUCUCAAAUGAAUCAGCUUACCAGUGUUUGGUGGCGUCACAGGUGUGAUAACUAUCUACGCUUGUGGCUUUCCAUCAGGUAACCUUCAGCGAUGGAGGUUUGCUGGGGCUCAUAAAUGUCUCUCCUCAGCGAGGACAGCUUUUUUGAACGUUUGACCUCAAAUCAGGUAGGACCACCCGCUGAACUUAAG
rnacentral:misc_RNA from 1 species